GGGGAUGUGGUUGAAGUGGUAAGAUGCUCGCCUAGCAUGUGUGAGGCACUGGGUUCGAUUCUCAGCACCACA
rnacentral:tRNA from 1 species